rnacentral:rRNA from 1 species
AUGGGGCGCGGCGCGGAGGCCGUGGCCAGGGGCGCAGCGCGGCCGGGCGGACGAGCGCGGGGCGCGGAGGCCGUGGCCUGGGGCGCAGCGCGGCCGGGCGCGGCGCAGCCACGGGAGAAGCGCGGGGACGCGCAGCCACAGGAGGAGCGCAGGGGCACGGCGCGGAGGCCGGGCUGCCGGCGCGUAGUCGUGGGAGUCGGGAGCCACCGCGGGCGUCGGGCACUGGAGUUGGCCGCCUCGCUCGUCGUUCCUGUAGCCUUGGAAGCGAGUUGCUUGGCGUUCUCGUUUUUGGCAGAGCAAAGUGCGUGA